rnacentral:lncRNA from 12 species
CCAGCUUCCAGCGGAUGUCCUGGUUCCUAAAAGUGUUCAGAGUACUGCCACUACUUCCUGCAGAUGUGCAAACCAGCAGGUGGAGAGGGAAAGAGCAGGAAGGAAGUUGAGUAAAGGUGGGAGGGUAGUAGGAAGUACCCCCUCUCAGGCUCCUCCUUUCCUAGGCAGCGACUGUCUGUUCAAAACCACAGCAAGGCUGCCCAAAGCGAUGUCUUCAACAGGAGGGAGGUGUUGGUCCAGAAACAGUAAAGCUAAUCUUUGUUGAGGGCUUGUUAAUGAGACAACAUGCUGAGCAUCAUCUUGUAUCAUCUUCACCUUAACCACAGAAGACACUAACAUCACUGUCUCCUUUCUGCAGGUGAGGAGCUCAAAGCAUAAAGAGAGGAAGUCACUUGUUUCAGCUCUCAGGGUCCAGGAGCCUGUCUGACUCCAGAGGGGACUCAUGCCUGGGCUUCCUGUCUCCAGGGAAUCUGGACAGAGCGGUGGAAAUUUCAGGUGGCACUUGGGCCAGGGAGGAUCUCCACGCCUUUCCUCACACCGAGCUGUCUGGCCCUUGGGGAGUUAACUUCACAGAUAGGAAUAUCAUCUUCAGCACCUGUCACCAUAUGGGACAUAGAGGAAGCUCUCCCUCCUGUUUCCAAGAAAAGAAAAAUUAUUGAACUCAGGCUGAGUGUCAACAGGUUGGCAGGUCUUCAAUAAAAAUAUUGGAAGAAAAAUCAACGCAAAAGAAAUAUGGAAAUCAUAAAAUAUUUUUCUAUAGCAUGGAGUCCUACUGCACCAUAAGGUUUGUGUUUCAAUAAUGCAUUGACAAGACAGGAAAAAUAUUUAUUGGAUAACAUUUUUUUUGCAGUGAAAAUGACAAUUUGCUAGAGCAACAGAAAAACAAAAUCACAUUUUAGUUGGAAAAAAUAUAUCCGAAGCUACAAUUAUCCUCUGGUCUGUAACACCCAGAAAUUUCAGGUGAGGUAAGAAUAACUAGUCACAUCCCAUUCUGGAGUCCUGACAAAAAGAAGAAAAUGAAU